rnacentral:rRNA from 1 species
UACGGAGGGGGCUAGCGUUGUUCGGAAUUACUGGGCGUAAAGCGCACGUAGGCGGCUUUGUAAGUUAGAGGUGAAAGCCCAGGGCUUAACCCUGGAAUUGCCUUUAAGACUGCAUCGCUAGAAUUGUGGAGAGGUAAGUGGAAUUCCGAGUGUAGAGGUGAAAUUCGUAGAUAUUCGGAAGAACACCAGUGGCGAAGGCGGCUUCCUGGCCUGUAACUGACGCUGAGACGCGAAAGCGUGGGGAGCGAACCGG